AGCAGCAUGGCGCAGUUGGAAGCGCGCGGGGCCCAUAUCAUUUGUGUAGGGGUGCUUUAUAUGCAACCCCGAGGUCACUCGAUCGAAACGAGUUGCUGCUA